CCGCUUCUUCCGGGUGGGGCCCCGGGCCGAGGCGAUGGCGCCCUGGGCGCUCCUCAGCCCUGGGGUCCUGGUGCGGACCGGGCACACCGUGCUGACCUGGGGAAUCACGCUGGUGCUCUUCCUGCACGAUACCGGUGAGCCGGACCCCGAGCGACCCCGGACCCACCCGAUCCCGCGUGGUUCCCCAGACGUUCUGGUCUCACUGGGUCUCCCGCCUAAUCCCUGGAGAUCCUGCGAUUGGCCCGAUCUCCGCCAGCUCCUGAAGCUCUCUCCCCAUCUAUCAUUCCAAGAGCCACCUGCUCUCCGCCUGAUACCCCGUUGAUCCCUAAUUAAUCCCAGCAUCUUCCUGAUCAUUGCCAAACGCCCUGUCCAUCCCAGGACCCAGCCGGUGCCCACCAGAUCCAAGGACCGACUUGAGCCCCAUGUCCCCUGAUCUGGGACCCACAUGAUCCUUCCCAGGAACUGACCCCAAAUCUUCCCAUCCAUACGAUUAGGAGGCUUAACUAGAUGCAAAGAUUGGCAUUCUGCCCACGCCCACACCCUCCACACCCCCGUGGCCGCUAGCUGCCCAAGUCCAGGCGAAGCCUCAGGCAAGAGAACACCCCAUGGGGUGCGGCCUGUCUCCCAUCUUCCCACAGAUUAACCCACCCACCUCCAUUUCCCUCAUUCUUCUUAGUAGCCCCCUACCCAGCGCCUCACCUGCCACGGGCAGCCUCCCCCACUGUCCCCCACAGCAGCCCCCAGCCCUCCUUCCGUGGCGGUCCAGCCUCAGUUUCUGGACUGAGGCCCCUUCUGGCUUUCCUCCCAAGACAGACCUCCUCCACCACUUUCACCCUUUAGCCUAAAAACUUGCUCAGGUCUCCGUAUCAGAAAACGAACCCCUCAAAACCCACCCUUUCUUCUCUGCUCCCCCUUACAACCAAGGGACACGGGAUUUGUCUACACUCUGCUGUCUGGUGGUCUCAUGCCCCUCACCUUGCCCUGCACCCUACCUCCCCAAAAUCCUGUCACCUCCAUGGGCUGAAGCCCGCUGGACCCUUCCUUAUGCCCCUCUGCAGCAUCUGAGCCUGCCAGCUGCACCCUCCCCACUGUAUCUCUCUCAGGCAUUUCAGACCUAGCCAGUCUCUCACCAUUGCAGAGCCAGAGAUGCUGGACCCCUCCUCCCUCUUUCCCACAUCCAGUCAGGUCUGGCUCCCUUCACCCAGCAGUCCCCUCUGUCCAUUCCUUCCUCCCUCACUUCCUGCCAGGCCUUUGUAGCUACCCUCUUCUUCCUCCUGGCCAGAUUCUCUGCCCCCAGGCUUCCCCUGAUCCAUUUCUUUAGCAAUGAGGUUUUCCAAAACAGAUCUGGCUCUAUAACCUUCCAUGGUUCCCUCUGACCCUCCAGAUAAAGUGCAGAUGAACUGUUGGCCACACACAACCACUCAGGGAACCAACAUCUCCAGGCCUUUGCUCAGCCAGGAACACACUUCCCCACCUCCAACUGCACCCCCGCCCCACCCACUCCUGUUCUACCCGGCCCAGCCUCACUGUGCUCUCCGGCCUCUCCAGAGCUGCGGCAAUGGGAGGAGCAGGGGGAGCUGCUCCUGCCCCUCACCUUCCUGCUCCUGGUGCUGGGCUCCCUGCUACUCUACCUCGCCGUGUCACUCAUGGACCCUGGCUACGUGAAUGUGCAGCCUCAGCCUCAGGAGGAGCUCAAAGAGGAGCAGACAGCCAUGGUUCCUCCAGCCAUCCCUCUUCGGCGCUGUAGAUACUGCCUGGUGCUGCAGCCCCUGAGGGCUCGGCACUGCCGUGAGUGCCGCCGUUGCGUCCGCCGCUACGACCACCACUGCCCCUGGAUGGAGAACUGUGUGGGAGAACGCAACCACCCACUCUUUGUGGUCUACCUGGCGCUGCAGCUGGUGGUGCUUCUGUGGGGCCUGUACCUGGCAUGCCCUGGGGGCUGUGGCUGCGGUCCAGCGGGCUCCUGUUCGCCACCUUCCUGUUGCUGUCCCUCUUCUCGUUGGUGGCCAGCCUGCUCCUCGCCUCACACCUCUACCUGGUGGCCAGCAACACCACCACCUGGGAAUUCAUCUCCUCACACCGCAUCACCUAUCUCCGCCAGCGCCCCGGCAACCCCUUCGACCGAGGCCUGACCCGCAACCUGGCCCACUUCUUCUGUGGAUGGCCCUCGGGGUCCUGGGAGACCCUCUGGGCUGAGGAGGAGGAAGAGGGCAGCAGCCCAGCUGUUUAGGGUUGCUGGAGGCCGGGCUACCGUCUUGUGCCUGAAAACCACAGGGCCUGUCCCCAGCUGGGGUGAGCCCUCGGAGGGCCUGGGGCCCUCACUCCUGCCCACGCCUCCCAGGCCCCAGAACGGAGCUUCAAGUCAGACAGAUCCCUGCCUUGGUGGGCAGUUCUGCCUUCCAAGGAAGAAGGGGAAGAAAAGAACCUGUGGGCGGCUCACGCCCAAGCAGACCCCAGGCUCCACCCCAGCCCUGCCCAGGCUGCUGCCAGUGCACACUUUUACAAAUUUAAUAUAAAGCAAGUCCAGUCUU
rnacentral:sRNA from 1 species